rnacentral:sRNA from 1 species
CCAUAGCCCUGAUAAAAGCGGCAUCCUUUGUGUUUUUGCUCCAAAAACAGAAAGAUAUAGCGGAUAGCAGGAAAUAGC